CCUACGGGAGGCAGCAGUGAGGAAUAUUGGUCAAUGGGCUUACGCCUGAACCAGCCAAGUCGCGUGAGGGAAGACUGCCCUAUGGGUUGUAAACCUCUUUUGUCAGGGAGCAACGCCCGCUACGCAUAGCCGGACUGCGAGUACCUGAAGAAAAAGCAUCGGCUAACUCCGGGCCAGCAGCCGCGGUAAUACGUAGGGGGCAAGCGUUAUCCGGAUUUACUGGGUGUAAAGGGGGCGCAGGCGGCGUUGCAAGACAGGCGUGAAAGCCCGGGGCUCAACCCCGGGACUGCGCUUGGAACUGUGUGGCUGGAGUGCAGGAGGGGCAGGCGGAAUUCCUGGUGUAGCGGUGAAAUGCGUAGAGAUCAGGAGGAACACCGGUGGCGAAGGCGGCCUGCUGGACUGCAACUGACGUUGAGGCCCGAAAGCGUGGGGAGCAAACAGGAUUAGAUACCCUUGUAGUC
rnacentral:rRNA from 1 species